GACGAACGCUGGCGGCGUGCUUAACACAUGCAAGUCGAACGGAAAGGCCCUGCUUUUGUGGGGUGCUCGAGUGGCGAACGGGUGAGUAACACGUGAGUAACCUGCCCUUGACUUUGGGAUAACUUCAGGAAACUGGGGCUAAUAUCGGAUAGGAGCUCCUGCUGCAUGGUGGGGGUUGGAAAGUUUCGGCGGUUGGGGAUGGACUCGCGGCUUAUCAGCUUGUUGGUGGGGUAGUGGAUUACCAAGGCUUUGACGGGUAGCCGGCCUGAGAGGGUGACCGGCCACAUUGGGACUGAGAUACGGCCCAGACUCCUACGGGAGGCAGCAGUGGGGAGUAUUGCACAAUGGGCGGAAGCCUGAUGCAGCAACGCCGCGUGCGGGAUGACGGCCUUCGGGUUGUAAACCGCUUUCGCCUGUGACGAAGCGUGAGUGACGGUAAUGGGUAAAGAAGCACCGGCUAACUACGUG
rnacentral:rRNA from 1 species